rnacentral:rRNA from 1 species
AGUGAACGCUGGCGGUAGGCCUAACACAUGCAAGUCGAACGGCAGCACAGUAAGAGCUUGCUCUUACGGGUGGCGAGUGGCGGACGGGUGAGGAAUACAUCGGAAUCUACUUUUUCGUGGGGGAUAACGUAGGGAAACUUACGCUAAUACCGCAUACGACCUACGGGUGAAAGCAGGGGAUCUUCGGACCUUGCGCGAUUGAAUGAGCCGAUGUCGGAUUAGCUAGUUGGCGGGGUAAAGGCCCACCAAGGCGACGAUCCGUAGCUGGUCUGAGAGGAUGACCGGCCACACGGGAAUGGGGAAACGGCCCAGACCCCUACGGGAGGAAGCAGUGGGGAAUUUGGGCAAAUGGGGGAAAGCCUGACCCAGCCAUACCGCGUGGGUGAAGAAGGCCUUGGGGUUGUAAAGCCCUUUUGUUGGGAAAAAAAAGCAGCAGGUUAAAACCCCGCUGUUCUGACGGUACCCAAAGAAAAAGCACCGGCUAACUUCGU